rnacentral:rRNA from 1 species
GACGAACGCUGGCGGCGUGCCUAAUACAUGCAAGUAGAACGCUGAAGGAGGAGCUUACUUCUCUGGAUGAGUUGCGAACGGGUGAGUAACGCGUAGGUAACCUGCCUGGUAGCGGGGGAUAACUAUUGGAAACGAUAGCUAAUACCGCAUAAGAGUAGAUGUUGCAUGACAUUUACUUAAAAGGUGCAAUUGCACCACUACCAGAUGGACCUGCGUUGUAGUGGCUAGUUGGUGGGGUAACGGCUUACCAAGGCGACGAUACAUAGCCGACCUGAGAGGGUGAUCGGCCACACUGGGACUGAGACACGGCUCAGACUCCUACGGGAGGCAGCAGUAGGGAAUCUUCGGCAAUGGACGGAAGUCUGACCGAGCAACGCCGCGUGAGUGAAGAAGGUUUUCGGAUCGUAAAGCUCUGUUGUAAGAGAAGAACGAGUGUGAGAGUGGAAAGUUCACACUGUGACGGUAUCUUACCAGAAAGGGACGGCUAACUACGUGCCAGCCGCCGCAGUAA